rnacentral:rRNA from 1 species
UGCAAGCGUUACUCGGAAUUACUGGGCGUAAAGCGUGCGUAGGUGGUGAGUUAAGUCUGUCGUGAAAGCCCCGGGCUCAACCUGGGAAUGGCGAUGGAUACUGGCUCGCUAGAGUGCGGUAGAGGAGAGUGGAAUUCCCGGUGUAGCAGUGAAAUGCGUAGAGAUCGGGAGGAACAUCAGUUGCGAAGGCGGCUCUCUGGACCAGCACUGACACUGAGGCACGAAAGCGUGGGGAGCAAACAGG